GACGAACGCUGGCGGCGUGCUUAACACAUGCAAGUCGAACGGAGUGGCGAACGGGUGAGUAACACGUGGGUGAUCUGCCUUUCACUUCGGGAUAAGCUUGGGAAACUGGGUCUAAUACCGGAUAUUGCAAGAUGAGCUCGCGGCCUAUCGGCUUGUUGGGGGGGUAAUGGCCUACCAAGGCGUCGACGGGUAGCCGGCCUGGGAGGGUGUACGGGGACAAUGGGACUGAGAGACGGAGCAGACGCGAACGGGAGGCAGUAGGGGGGAAUAUUGCACAAUGGGCGCAAGCGUGAGGCAGCGACGCCGGGUGGGUGAUGAAGGGCUUCGGGGUGUAAACUCCUUUGGACAGGGACGCGGUACCUGUAUAAGAAGCACCGGCUAACUACGUGCCAGCCGCCGCGGUAAUUC
rnacentral:rRNA from 1 species